AAUACAGCCCUUUUCAGGGCUACCAAAUGUUUUAUAAAAAGAGAUAU
rfam:Lucilia cuprina strain LS Scaffold71, whole genome shotgun sequence.